GCGGCGGACGGGUGAGUAACACGUGGGUAACCUGCCUGUAAGACUGGGAUAACUCCGGGAAACCGGGGCUAAUACCGGAUGCUUGAUUGAACCGCAUGGUUCAAUUAUAAAAGGUGGCUUUUAGCUACCACUUACAGAUGGACCCGCGGCGCAUUAGCUAGUUGGUGAGGUAACGGCUCACCAAGGCAACGAUGCGUAGCCGACCUGAGAGGGUGAUCGGCCACACUGGGACUGAGACACGGCCCAGACUCCUACGGGAGGCAGCAGUAGGGAAUCUUCCGCAAUGGACGAAAGUCUGACGGAGCAACGCCGCGUGAGUGAUGAAGGUUUUCGGAUCGUAAAACUCUGUUGUUAGGGAAGAACAAGUACCGUUCGAAUAGGGCGGUACCUUGACGGUACCUAACCAGAAAGCCACGGCUAACUACGUGCCAGCAGCCGCGGUAAUACGUAGGUGGCAAGCGUUGUCCGGAAUUAUUGGGCGUAAAGCGCGCGCAGGCGGUUUCUUAAGUCUGAUGUGAAAGCCCCCGGCUCAACCGGGGAGGGUCAUUGGAAACUGGGGAACUUGAGUGCAGAAGAGGAGAGUGGAAUUCCACGUGUAGCGGUGAAAUGCGUAGAGAUGUGGAGGAACACCAGUGGCGAAGGCGACUCUCUGGUCUGUAACUGACGCUGAGGCGCGAAAGCGUGGGGAGCGAACAGGAUUAGAUACCCUGGUAGUCCACGCCGUAAACGAUGAGUGCUAAGUGUUAGAGGGUUUCCGCCCUUUAGUGCUGCAGCAAACGCAUUAAGCACUCCGCCUGGGGAGUACGGUCGCAAGACUGAAACUCAAAGGAAUUGACGGGGGCCCGCACAAGCGGUGGAGCAUGUGGUUUAAUUCGAAGCAACGCGAAGAACCUUACCAGGUCUUGACAUCCUCUGACAACCCUAGAGAUAGGGCUUCCCCUUCGGGGGCAGAGUGACAGGUGGUGCAUGGUUGUCGUCAGCUCGUGUCGUGAGAUGUUGGGUUAAGUCCCGCAACGAGCGCAACCCUUGAUCUUAGUUGCCAGCAUUCAGUUGGGCACUCUAAGGUGACUGCCGGUGACAAACCGGAGGAAGGUGGGGAUGACGUCAAAUCAUCAUGCCCCUUAUGACCUGGGCUACACACGUGCUACAAUGGGCAGAACAAAGGGCAGCGAAGCCGCGAGGCUAAGCCAAUCCCACAAAUCUGUUCUCAGUUCGGAUCGCAGUCUGCAACUCGACUGCGUGAAGCUGGAAUCGCUAGUAAUCGCG
rnacentral:rRNA from 1 species